GCAAAGGUAGCAUAGUCAUUAGUUCUUUAAUUGUGAUCUGGUAUGAAUGGCUUGACGAGGCAUGGGCUGUCUUAAUUUUGAAUUGUUUAUUGAAUUUGGUCUUUGAGUUAAAAUUCUUAGAUGUUUUUAUGGGACGAGAAGACCCUAUAGAGUUUAACAUUUGUUAUGGUCCCCUUUCUGUUUGUGAGGGCUCAUUGGGCCGUUUAAUAUGUUUUGUUGGGGUGAUGGGAGGGAUUAAUUUAACCCCUCCUUUUUAUUAUUAUAUUUAUUUAUAUUUACUUGAUCCAUUUAUUUUGAUUGUAAGAUUAAAUUACCUUAGGGAUAACAGCGUUAUCUUCCUUGAGAGUUCUUAUCGGCAGGGGGGUUUGCG
rnacentral:rRNA from 1 species